GAUGAACGCUGGCGGCGUGCCUAACACAUGCAAGUCGAACGGAGUCCAGCCUUAGAGACCUUCGGGUCAAAGAGGGGAAGACUGAGUGGCGGACGGGUGAGUAACACGUGGGCAACCUGGCUCAUAGAGGGGGAUAACAGAGAGAAAUUUCUGCUAAUACCGCAUAAGCACACACUGCCGCAUGGCAGAGUGUGAAAAGAGAAUCGCUAUGAGAUGGACCCGCGUCUGAUUAGCCAGUUGGCAGGGUAAGAGCCUACCAAAGCGACGAUCAGUAGCCGAUUUGAGAGGAUGAACGGCCACAUUGGGACUGAGACACGGCCCAAACUCCUACGGGAGGCAGCAGUGGGGGAUAUUGCACAAUGGGGGGAACCCUGAUGCAGCGACGCCGCGUGAGUGAAGAAGUAUUUCGGUAUGUAAAGCUCUAUAAGCAGGGAAGAUAAUGACAGUACCUGAAUAAGAAGCCCCGGCUAACUACGUG
rnacentral:rRNA from 1 species